rnacentral:rRNA from 1 species
CCCUUAGAUGUUCUGGGCCGCACGCGCGCUACACUGACGAAUGCAACGAGCUUAUAACCUUGGCCGAAAGGUCUGGGUAAUCUCCAAAUUUCGUCGUGAUGGGGAUAGAUUAUUGCAAUUAUUAAUCUUCAACGAGGAAUGCCUAGUAAGCGCAAGUCAUCAGCUUGCGUUGAUUACGUCCCUGCCCUUUGUACACACCGCCCGUCGCUCCUACCGAUUGAAUGGUUCGGUGAAGCGUUCGGACCGUGGCCUUUGGACGGUUCGCCGUCUGUUGGCUGCGGGAAGUUCGUUAAACCUUAUCAUUUAGAGGAAGGAGAAGUCGUANCA